rnacentral:rRNA from 1 species
CGUGGAGCGAUUUGUCUGGUUUAUUCCGAUAACGAGCGAGACUCGAGCCUACUAACUAGUCUACAUAUCAAUGAUGUGUGUAGCACUUCUUAGAGGGAUUUUCGGUGUUUAGCCGCACGAGAUUGAGCAAUAACAGGUCUGUGAUGCCCUUAGAUGUCCGGGGCUGCACGCGCGCUACACUGGCAAAAGCAGCGUGCUUGUCCAUUCCCGAAAGGGAUUGGUAAACCAAUCAAGAUUUGCCGUGAUUGGGAUCGAAGAUUGCAAUUAUUUUUCGUGAACGAGGAAUUCCAAGUAAAUGCGAGUCAUCAACUCGCGUUGAAUACGUCCCUGCCCUUUGUAC